UGGGGAAUUUUGGACAAUGGGCGCAAGCCUGAUCCAGCAAUGCCGCGUGCAGGAUGAAGGCCUUCGGGUUGUAAACUGCUUUUGUACGGAACGAAACGGCUCUGUCUAAUACAUGGGGCUAAUGACGGUACCGUAAGAAUAAGCACCGGCUAACUACGUGCCAGCAGCCGCGGUAAUACGUAGGGUGCAAGCGUUAAUCGGAAUUACUGGGCGUAAAGCGUGCGCAGGCGGUGAUGUAAGACAGGUGUGAAAUCCCCGGGCUUAACCUGGGAAUUGCAUUUGUGACUGCAUCGCUGGAGUGCGGCAGAGGGGGAUGGAAUUCCGCGUGUAGCAGUGAAAUGCGUAGAUAUUCGGAAGAACACCAGUGGCGAAGGCGACAUACUGGCUCAUUACUGACGCUGAGGCUCGAAAGCGUGGGGAGCAAACA
rnacentral:rRNA from 1 species